UACGUAGGGCGCAAGCGUUAUCCGGAAUUAUUGGGCGUAAAGAGCUCGUAGGCGGUUUGUCGCGUCUGCCGUGAAAGUCCGGGGCUCAACUCCGGAUCUGCGGUGGGUACGGGCAGACUAGAGUGAUGUAGGGGAGACUGGAAUUCCUGGUGUAGCGGUGAAAUGCGCAGAUAUCAGGAGGAACACCGGAUGGCAAGGCAGGUCUCUGGGCAUUAACUGACGCUGAGGAGCGAAAGCAUGGGGAGCGAACAGG
rnacentral:rRNA from 1 species